rnacentral:rRNA from 1 species
CCUACGGGCGGCAGCAGUGGGGAAUAUUGGACAAUGGGCGAAAGCCUGAUCCAGCCAUGCCGCGUGUGUGAAGAAGGCCUUCGGGUUGUAAAGCACUUUCAGUGGGGAAGAAAGCCUUGGGGCUAAUACCCUCGAGGAAGGACAUCACCCACAGAAGAAGCACCGGCUAACUCCGUGCCAGCAGCCGCGGUAAUACGGAGGGUGCGAGCGUUAAUCGGAAUUACUGGGCGUAAAGCGCGCGUAGGCGGUCUGAUAAGCCGGUUGUGAAAGCCCCGGGCUCAACCUGGGAACGGCAUCCGGAACUGUCAGGCUAGAGUGCAGGAGAGGAGAGUAGAAUUCCCGGUGUAGCGGUGAAAUGCGUAGAGAUCGGGAGGAAUACCAGUGGCGAAGGCGGCCUUCUGGACUGACACUGACGCUGAGGUGCGAAAGCGUGGGUAGCAAACAGGAUUAGAUACCCGGGUAGUC